rnacentral:tRNA from 1 species
GGCACGGUGGCCAAGUGGUAAGGCAGGGGUCUGCAAAACCCCUAUACACGGGUUCGAUUCCCGUCCGUGCCU